AGAGUUUGAUCAUGGCUCAGAAUGAACGUUGGCGGCGUGGAUUAGGCAUGCAAGUCGAACGAAUCCCCGCAAGGGGGGAAGUGGCGAAAGGGGCAGUAAGGCGUGGACAACCUGCCCCCGGCUCCAGGAUAGCCUUCCUAACGGAUGGGUAAUACUGGGUACGCUCGCCCGGAGACAUCUCCGGGCGAGGAUAGCUCCGGCGGCCGGGGAGGGGUUCACGUGAUAUUAGCUAGUUGGUGGGGUGACAGCCCACCAAGGCCAAGAUGUCUAGCGGGUGUGAGAGCACGACCCGCGCCACUGGCACUGGGACACUGGCCAGACUCCUACGGGAGGCUGCAGUCGAGGAUCUUCGGCAAUGGGCGCAAGCCUGACCGAGCGACGCCGCGUGAGCGAUGAAGGACUUCGGGUCGUAAAGCUCUGUCGGGGGGGAGAAAAGGCAACUUGAUCGACCCCCGGAGGAAGCACGGGCUAAGUUCGUGCCAGCCGCCGCGGUAAUAC
rnacentral:rRNA from 1 species